AAACGACUCUCGGCAACGGAUAUCCCGGCUCUCGCAUCGAUGAAGAACGUAGCGAAAUGCGAUACUUGGUGUGAAUUGCAGAAUCCCGUGAACCAUUGAGUCUUUGAACGCAAGUUGCGCCCGAAGCCUCUAGGCUGAGGGCACGUCUGCCUGGGUGUCACGC
rnacentral:rRNA from 1 species